UCCGGUUUGUCACCGGCAGUCCCAUUAGAGUGCCCAACUAAAUGUAGCAACUAAUGGUAAGGGUUGCGCUCGUUGCGGGACUUAACCCAACAUCCCACGACACGAGCUGACGACAGCCAUGCAGCACCUGUGUCCAGGUUCCCUUUCGGGCACCUCCACAUCUCUGCGGAGUUCCUGGCAUGUCAAGGGUAGGUAAGGUUCUUCGCGUUGCGUCGAAUUAAACCACAUGCUCCACCGCUUGUGCGGGCCCCCGUCAAUUCCUUUGAGUUUCAGCCUUGCGGCCGUACUCCCCAGGCGGGGCACUUAAUGCGUUAGCGCCGGCACUCGGAGGGUCGCUCCCCCAAGCACCUAGUGCCCAUCGUUUACGGCGUGGACUAC
rnacentral:misc_RNA from 1 species